CCUACGGGAGGCAGCAGUGGGGAAUAUUGGGCAAUGGGCGCGAGUCUGACCCAGCAACGCCGCGUGAAGGAAGACGGCUUUAGGGUUGUAAACUUCUUUUAAUGAGGAAGAACAGAAGACGGUACCCCUUUAAUAAGCCACGGCUAACUACGUGCCAUCAGCCGCGGUAAUACGUAGGUGGCCAGCGUUGUCCGGGUUUACUGGGUGUAAAGGGCGUGCAGCCGGAGAGACAAGUCAGAUGUGAAAGCCGCAGGCUCAACCUGCGAACUGCAUUUGAAACUGUUUCCCUUGAGUAUCGGAGAGGUGAUCGGAAUUCCUAGUGUAGCGGUGAAAUGCGUAGAUAUUAGGAAGAACACCAGUUGCGAAGGCGGAUGACUGGACGACAACUGACGGUGAGGCGCGAUAGUGUGGGGAGCAAACAGGAUUAGAUACCCUAGUAGUC
rnacentral:rRNA from 1 species